UACAUUCGGAAACGGGUGCAAAUACCGCAUAAUUUCUUCUUCCGCAUGGAAGAAGAUUGAAAGACGGCUCUGCUGUCACUUAUAGAUGACCUUGCGGUGCAUUAGUUAGUUGGUGGGGUAACGGCCUACCAAGACGAUGAUGCAUAGCCGACCUGAGAGGGUGAUCGGCCACAUUGGGACUGUGACACGGCCCAAACUCCUACGGGAGGCAGCAGUAGGGAAUCUUCCGCAAUGGGCGAAAGCCUGACGGAGCAAAGCCGCGUGGGUGAAGAAGGCCUUCGGGUCGUAAAACUCUGUUAUAAGAGAAGAACAAAUUGUAGAGUAACUGCUACAGUCUUGACGGUAUCUUAUCAGAAAGCCACGGCUAACUACGUGCCAGCAGCCGCGGUAAUACGUAGGUGGCAAGCGUUGUCCGGAUUUAUUGGUCGUAAAGGGAGCGCAGGUCGUUUCUUAAGU
rnacentral:rRNA from 1 species